UCUUCCUUAGCUCAGUCGGUUAGAGCAUCUNNGGGUCGUUGGUUCGAGUCCAACCUGAAGAG
rnacentral:tRNA from 1 species